UACGGGGGGGGCAAGCGUUGUUCGGAAUUACUGGGCGUAAAGGGCUCGUAGGCGGCCAACUAAGUCAGACGUGAAAUCCCUCGGCUUAACCGGGGAACUGCGUCUGAUACUGGAUGGCUUGAAUCCGGGAGAGGGAUGCGGAAUUCCAGGUGUAGCGGUGAAAUGCGUAGAUAUCUGGAGGAACACCGGUGGCGAAGGCGGCAUCCUGGACCAACACUGACACUGAGGAGCGAAAGCCAGGGAGCAAACGGG
rnacentral:rRNA from 1 species